GAAGAGCCAGGUAUCAUAGAACACACCUGUGAUCCCAGCACUCAGGGGAGGCUGAGGCAGGAGGAU
rnacentral:miRNA from 1 species